UUUUCAGCGCUGGCCGCAGUGACGUCAAGCGAGAGUGAAAUGCUUUGAUGAAAUUGUUUGUAUUUUGCUAUUCGUAGUGCUUAAAAGCAAAACAGAGAGAGAGAGAGAGGGAGAGCUUUUAUACAGUCGCGGAGUUGGCUUCAAACGAGUAGUAAGUCAGCUGCGCCUGAUAUUCAAAAUAAAUAAAAAACACAAGCAAUUAUGGAAGAAGUUAAUACAGAAAUAGAGACAACACUGGCCGCAGUCACGUCGAAAGCAAAGGUAUUGGCAAUUGGAGAUGGUGAGAGAUGUGACAAGUCCAAAAAUAAUGCGGUAAAAGACAAUGACACGAAGAACUUUAUGGCUGACUGCUUAAAUCAUGUUAGUCGACUUUUAUUGAGUGGUCUAACUCCUAUAGAAGCUCGACGUGAUUGGCCCUGGGAGGUCUUGGAGAUUAAGUUUAUUAGGGAAGAUAACCAGUUGAAACGCUGUCAUUUUCAUUGCUAUCGCUCACGAAAAUAUUUGCAUGAUUAUUGUACUGACCUAAAGCAUGUCUGCAUAUACAAUGCAGAGCUCGGACUGCAUGAAAUAAGGAAACGAUUGAAGAGCGAAAAUUGGAUAUCAAGAUACGUGUUGGAACUGCCACUCAAAACAAAGCUUGAUCCUGAAAUAUAUGGGACCGGUGAAACUGCCAUUUGGGGUGUAUGUAAUUCUGUUGUUUCUGAUAAUCGAAACGAUGUGUUUCGUUUCCUGCAUUUUUUACACAAGCAAUAUGUUGAAGAAAAGGCGAAAAAAUAAAUUUCUUGUGAGCAGUUUUAAAAUGAUUUAAAAUACAAUUCGCAUACUGAAAAGACGUAACUAAAAGUAUUGAUGACAAUGAAAUUAAGCUUUCAUCGAGCUGUUGCCGCAGCGCUCUCUGUGAAUUUAAUUGUAUUGCGUUAAGAGCUUUUUGUGAAAUUAAUUGUAUUUCGUUAUGCGUAGUGUAUAAAGGCAAAGUUGGGAGACAGCUUUACACAGUCACGGAGUACGCUUCAAACGAGAUUAUUGUGGAGUAAACGGGGUCUUUAGAUUUUGUAUUAAAAUAAUACCUGAGCCAGCAAUAACCAACAAUGGAAAACGAAGAUGCCAAAAUUGAUACAAUAACCUCGAAGACAAAAGUAUUGGCUAUUGGAGAUGAGAGAAAACCAUACGCAAAGAAGAAGAAGCCAGUAAAAGACGAUGACAGAGUGAAACUCAAAAAUGAUUAUUUCAAGCGCAUUGGUUUCCUUCUAAUGGGAAGUCAUGCUCCCAUCGGGGAUGUCAAUUCAACCACAUCGGAUUGGUUUGGAAUAGAGACGAUUAAGAAACAGGAUCAGCCUAAUCGUUUUCAAUUUUACUGUGUACGCAGUAAAAAUCAUCCGAAUACUAAGGUAUGGUUUUUCCCCACACAUAACGCCCAGUCGAUAUUGCACGGAGUGAGAAAGCUACUGAAAGACGAAAAUUGGAUAUCAAAAGAUGUGAUACAAUCCCCACUCAAAGCAGAUGUAAGCGGUCAAUACUAUAAUGAUGAGACAUACUACAUUCACAGAAUGGUUUCUAAAGUAUCUUAUGAUGAACACGUUAAGCUGUCUCAGUUCAUGCAUUACUUAAACUUCGAACAUAGUAAAAAGUCGGCAAAAGUUUAAUUCAUAUACAUGAAUACAACAAUAUUUAACUAUUUACACUAUUUCUUGAUGUGCAAAGAUUACCAGUUCUGUCAUGCUACAAUUAAUUUCCGUAAUCUUUGGGUGCCGACACCCCUUCUUCUUUUUUUGUAUUACUAAAAGAUUAAAUCGUUGCAAUGCGAAAUGACAGUGGGAAAGUUUGAGAGAAAUAUGUUGAAGAAUAGGCGAAAAAAUAAAUUUCUUGUGAGCAGUUUUAUAUAAAAGAGCAAUUCGCAUACGGACAAGACGCAACUAAAAGUAUUGAUGACAAUAAAAUUAAACUUUCGUCGAGCUUUUACCGCAGCGCUUUUUGUGAAAUUAAUUCUAUUUCGUUAUGCGUAGUGUAUAAAGGCAAAACAGAGAUAGCUUUACACAGUCACGGAGUACGCUUCAAACGAGAUUAUUGUGGAGUAAACGGGAUCUUCAGAUUUUGUGUUAAAAUAAUACCAACUAUGGAAAACGAAGAAGCCAAAAUUGAUACAAUCACAUCGAAGACAAAAGUAUUGGCUAUUGGAGAUGAGAGAAUACCAUACGCCAUAAAGAAGAAGCCAGUAAAAUACGAUAACAGCGUGAAACUCAGACAUGAUUAUUUGAAGCGCAUUGGUCUACUUCUAAUGGGAAGUCAAGCACCCAUUGGGGAUGUCGACGAUUCAACCACAUCGGAUUGGAUUGGAGUAGAGACGAUUAAAGAACAUAAUAAGCCCGAUCGUUUUAAAUUUUACUGCCUACGCGGUAAAAAUAAUCCGAAUACUAAGUUAUGGUUGUUCCGCACACAUAAUGCCCAGGCGAUAAUGUAUGGAGUGAGAAAGCUACUGAAAGACGAAAAUUGGAUAUCAAAAGAUGUGAUACAAUCCCCACUCAAAGCAGAUGUAAGCGGUCAAUACUAUAAUGAUGAGACAUACUACAUUCACAGAAUGGUUUCUAAAGUAUCUUAUGAUGAACACGUUAAGCUGUCUCAGUUCAUGCAUUACUUAAACUUCGAACAUAGUAAAAAGUCGGCAAAAGUUUAAUUCAUAUACAUGAAUACAACAAUA
rnacentral:misc_RNA from 1 species